UGUGAGCGGCGUGUGGAACGUGGCGGACUGGGCACGGUACCGGGGAAAGAGCCAGGCGGACUGGGCACGGUACCGGGGAGAGAGAGACAGAAUGGUUAAUAUGGCGACCAAACGAGAGGCAAGAAGCAAUGGGUGAAGAAUGAAAUGGCAUCUUGGUGCUAGAGGUCACUGUUGUGAUGGCAUUCUCCUUCAAAAGCUAAAGAGGCAAC